rnacentral:rRNA from 1 species
GAUGAACGCUGACAGAAUGCUUAACACAUGCAAGUCUUUGGCGAAGCUGUGCUUGCACAGCCUAGCCAAGGCGGACGGGUGAGUAACGCGUAAGGAACUUGCCCUGCAGUCAGGGAUAACAGACGGAAACGACUGAUAAGACCUGGUAAAGUCAGGCGGACUCAUGUCCAGCCUGAUGAAAAGAGAUGCUGCAGGAGAGCCUUGCGUCCUAUUAGCUUGUUGGUGGGGUAACGGCCCACCAAGGCGAUGUUAGGUAGCCGGCCUGAGGGGGUGGACGGCCACAAGGGGACUGAGAUACGGCCCUUACUCCUACGGGAGGCAGCAGUGGGGAAUAGUGGACAAGGGGGGCAACCCUGAUCCAGCAAUUCUGUGUGCACGAUGAAGGUUUUCGGAUUGUAAAGUGCUUUCAGCAGGGAAGAAAAAAAUGACGGUACCUGCAGAAGAAGCGACGGCUAAAUACGUG